rnacentral:lncRNA from 1 species
AAAUCUAUUUUAACAACACAACCAACAAAAAUCAAAUAAAAAAAAAACUGAAGAUGAGAGAAGAGAAUCACAAUUAAUUUCUUCAUCUUCGACGUUCGCGGUUCACUACAACCUCCUCUUUACUGCAACUUUUAUUGUACCGGGAAACCUUUAUUGUACCGGGAAAGACAUGUACUUUAUCCCUCUCUUCUUUUUUGCUUUGCUUUUCAAACUUUAUCUUAUUGAAAGAUGUAAACUUUAUUUUUCUAAAUGAAAACUCUCUUUUCUUGGAGGCGAAUAGUUUUAGUAUGUAACUCCCCCUCUCACGUUUUCCUAGAGAAUCCAACUUAUUUU